GAUGAACGCUAGCGAUAGGCCUAACACAUGCAAGUCGAGGGGCAUCACAUGAAGUAGCAAUACGGAUGGUGGCGACCGGCGCACGGGUGAGUAACACGUAUGCAACCUGCCUUCAACAAGGGGAUAACCCGUUGAAAGACGGACUAAUACCGCAUAAUACUGGAGAUCUGCAUGGAUAUUCAGUUAAACAUUUAUGGCUUACAGAUGGGCAUGCGCAUGAUUAGAUAGUUGGAGAGGUAACGGCUCCCCAAGUCAACGAUCAUUAGGGGUUCUGAGAGGUUUAUCCCCCACACUGGUACUGAGACACGGACCAGACUCCUACGGGAGGCAGCAGUGAGGAAUAUUGGUCAAUGGACGCAAGUCUGAACCAGCCACGUCGCGUGAAGGAAGACGG
rnacentral:rRNA from 1 species